rnacentral:rRNA from 1 species
AGCGAACGCUGGCGGCGUGCCUAACACAUGCAAGUCGAACGUGAAAGGGAGCAAUCCCAAGUAAAGUGGCGUACGGGUGAGUAACACGUAGGUAAUCUACCCCAGAAUCUGGAAUAACCGGCCGAAAGGCUGGCUAAUACUGGAUAGAGCGACGGAAUCCGUAAUUGGGUUUUUCGGGAAAGGGAGCCUGUAAAAAGGCCUUCGUUCUGGGAUGAGCCUGCGUCCCAUCAGCUAGUUGGUGAGGUAAAAGCUUACCAAGGCAAUGACGGGUAGCUGGUCUGAGAGGACGAUCAGCCACACUGGAACUGAAACACGGUCCAGACUCCUACGGGAGGCAGCAGUGGGGAAUCUUGCGCAAUGGACGAAAGUCUGACGCAGCAACGCCGCGUGAGCGAAGAAGGCCUUCGGGUUGUAGAGCUCUGUCGAGUGGGACGAAAAUGCUUGGAGUUCACAGCUCCAGGAACUGACGGUACCACUAAAGGAAGCACCGGCUAACUCCGUG